ACACGCUCUGAUCACUGCAGUGGUACGUACAGCCCAACAUCGAGAUGGUGCUCUUCUGCAAUGACAAGGAGCCAAAUCUGAAAGGAGAAUUUGAUUCAGGACAGUUGCCUGAAACGGCUGAUAAUCCUCCGAGGAUGUUCUGAGGUGUGGGUGCAAGCUGGCCAGCAAGUACAAUGCAGAUUUGCGGGUGACUGAAGAGUAAAGGUGAAGAUGAGACAGUCACAGACAUAUCCUGCAGAGUUUGAAUAAAGGCUGUUACAGACUGGAGCAUAAGGGACUGAAUGAAAAUCUACCACAUGACCAGGAUGAGGGUGUCGCUGGCCAGGCAACAUUUAUUGCCCAUCCCUAAUUGCCCAGAGGACGUUUCAGAGUCAACCACGUUGCUGUGGGUCUGGAGUCACAUGUAGGCCUGACCAGUUGACAUUUGGCUUCGCUCUGACAGUGGAGGAGGCCAAGGAUGGACAUGUCACCAGGAGAGAAGGAGGGGCAACCAAAAUGUAUGGCAACCAGAAGGUUACAUUAGAAGCGUGAAGUGGAAAGGAAUCUCACUUGCAGCAGAGAAAUCCUACCUUGAUGAAUAAACAAAAUAAACAUUAAAAACAGCACAGAUUUUGACUCGACCUCAUUUGAAAUUGUAAUGUGUUUUAUUAUUAUCACUGAAUAUUGAUGGUAUUUUAAUAUUAAUGAUGUGCAUAUUGUGGUCUUGACUUGUGUUUGUUAAAACGUUCAGAACUAUUAUUUAUUGGUCUUCAGGAGCUGCUUUAUUUAUUUGCAUUUGUGUUCAUUCCGGAGCUUCAGUUUGUAAAUUCCCACAAAAUAAAAAGUUUACCUCCUCAGAAAUGGUGAGAUUAACGAGUAACAUAGAUUCCAAAGGCUCGGCAACUCACAUUCUU